AGCUUUGCGUAGUGGCAGUAUCGUAGCUAAUGAGGUUUAAUCUGAGGUGCGAUUAUUGCUAAUUGAAGACUAGUGGUCUCUCUAUUCAACCCAUUUUGCCUUGGCCAAUGUGGUAAAAGCUGCUUCUCUUAGGUGCCUGGAUGGCUCAGAGA
rnacentral:snRNA from 1 species